GCUUACGGCCAUACCACCCUGACACACGCCCGAUCUAGUCUGAUCUCGGAAGUUAAGCAGGGUCGGGCCUGGUUAGUACUUGGAUGGGAUACCGCCUGGGAAUACUGGGUGCUGUAGGCU